rnacentral:rRNA from 1 species
CACAUCCUUUGACUUUCCUUAAAAUAAGAUUUUUCCUUCGGGACAAGAGUGACAGGUGGUGCAUGGUUGUCGUCAACUCGUGUCGUGAAAUGUUGGGUUAAGUCCCGCAACGAGCGCAACCCUUCAUUUUAGUUGCCAUCAUUAAGUUGGGCACUCUAAAGGGACUGCCGGGGAUAACUCGGAGGAAGGUGGGGAUGACGUCAAAUCAUCAUGCCCCUUAUGACUAGGGCUACACACGUGCUACAAUGGGUGGUACAAAGAGUUGCCAAACCGCGAGGUGGAGCUAAUCUCAUAAAACCAUUCUCAGUUCGGAUUGUAGGCUGCAACUUGCCUACAUGAAGCUGGAGUUGCUAGUAAUCGCGGAUCAGCAUGCCGCGGUGAAUACGUUUCCGGGCCUUGUACACACCCCCCAUCCCACCAUGAGAGUUUGGAACCCCCAAAGUCCGUGGGGUACCUUUUUGUAAGUUUAUCCCCUUC